AUGAACGCUGGCGGCGUGCCUAAUACCUGCAAGUCGAGCGAACAGACGAGGAGCUUACUCCUCUGACGUUAGCGGCGGACGGGUGAGUAACACGUGGAUAACCUACCUAUAAGACUGGGAUAACUUCGGGAAACCGGAGCUAAUACCGGAUAAUAUAUUGAACCGCAUGGUUCAAUAGUGAAAGACGGUUUUGCUGUCACUUAUAGAUGGAUCCGCGCCGCAUUAGCUAGUUGGUAAGGUAACGGCUUACCAAGGCGACGAUGCGUAGCCGACCUGAGAGGGUGAUCGGCCACACUGGAACUGAGACACGGUCCAGACUCCUACGGGAGGCAGCAGUAGGGAAUCUUCCGCAAUGGGCGAAAGCCUGACGGAGCAACGCCGCGUGAGUGAUGAAGGUCUUCGGAUCGUAAAACUCUGUUAUUAGGGAAGAACAAAUGUGUAAGUAACUAUGCACGUCUUGACGGUACCUAAUCAGAAAGCCACGGCUAACUACGUG
rnacentral:rRNA from 1 species